UGCGCUCCGUGCACUAUAUGCAUUUCAUACGUCUGUGAGGCGUGAUCUAGCUUGGUGGAUGGGAUUGGUCUGCACCCUCUUGUUGACAUUUCUGGCUCGUCCAGAAUUGGACCAGAUUUGAAUUUCGAAAUGGGUUUCAUUAAUCUUGUCUAGCCCGUGGGCUUUCCAGGAGUUAUUCUUACAGUGAUCGUGGCCAUCACAGCUAUGAGCUGCCAACAACAACCUUAUGCAAGGACUUGUCCUCUUAAAAUAGGUGUUUUAUGAAGCCCUGAUAGAUGAAUCUGUUCAAGCCCUUCUGACAAUAAAAAAUGGUGGCUACUUCAUGAAGGGAGAAGCAGACAGCACUUUGGUGACCACUCAGAUUGAAGCAAUGACAGAUGAAAAUAGUGGAAACAAAUCACAAGGGCAGUAUAUCAGCCAGCAUUCAAGUGAAGGGAAUCCUGGCUUCUUGUCUGCUUUAGGGCUGCAUCCUGCAGGAGAAAAUGUCAUCAAGAGAACUCCUGAAAAAACUGUACCACCUAUUUUUAAUAGGAGAGGCACGCCGCAGCGGAUCCGCAAGAAGAACCGACUCUACUUCGACGACGACCACGUCAGCGCUCCCACGUUUCGCUCCUCACCCAAAAAGUCGCCGGCGCCAGCCAGGGAGCGGACCUUGGUCCCGGCGCCGAUCGCCGCGCCGCCGCGACCCGCCGCCA